CAUCUAUUUCUUAUUUUAAAUGAACACGGACACAUAUAUUCGGUCUGUGUUUAAAAUUUACAUAUUUAUUCACCCAACAAGCACAACUACGUGGAUACGCCAUGAUGGUGACAUUUUAGCUCAGAAUUGACGAGAAAGUAAAGCAUCCAGAAACAAGCAACCAGACCGCUUUAAACAUCUGAAUUCAUCUACAAAACUACUGAGAGCAGCUACUUACAAAAAUCAUUAAAAGCUGGAGAAUCAGACGCGAAAUGAGGACUCCACCCCGAGACAAACUCAGCAAGGAUGUCAGGGACUGUUAUUUAGAUAAAUGAUCAUCUGUUAACAGCAUUGAUCAGCUAAGUUGGUUGCGUUUGUAGCGGUAAAGGUUUGUAUUGAUCAUGCUGCUUAUUUUGCAUAAAGAGAGUUUAGUUUUC